CCACAGCGGCAGGCGCCCACCGAGCCCCGCCGGACCCCAGAGGUCGUUCUGAGCGAUGGGCCUGGAAGGAGACGACGGCUCCGUAGGUUUCCUCCGAGCUCUGAGAGGCGUCCUGGCCACGAGCCCAAGAAAACCGGCCGCGGGCAGGUGCUGAACGGAGGCCCAAGGGGGGCCCUCCCUGCACUCUAUACCCACGGCCCUGCCUGGCCAGCCGCCGAAGAGGAGGGGCUUCAGCGCGCCGCCCAACCCCCGUUUCGCUCCGCGAAAGUCUCCCUAUCCCUUCCCUGCUUUUCCUACCGGCUCCAAGCAGCACCAGGAAGUGUGGUGCAGAGAUGGUCAUGUGACCCCGCAUCAUCACGUGGCACUUGGAAAAAGCGAAGGGGGCCCGUCUUCGCAUUCCGUGCGUCAUCACGUCGCGCAACGACGACGGCGGCGGCAACGACGACAACGACGACGACGACAACAACCACGACAACCACGAUUCUGGCGGCUCCGGGACCGGGAGGCGGCGGCGGCGGCUGUUCGGCGCCCACUGAGCCGCCUGCGGGCCCCGCACCCCACCCCACGCCCUCGGGCGGGGGGCCAGCCCUGCCUGGCUGGGUAGGGCGGGGUGCUGAGGUGAGUUGGGUGGAAGGAGCCACAGUUGAGCCUCCCCCUGCCCCUCUCCACGCCCCGUCCGCGCGCUGCCGCCCCCGUGUGGCCGGGGAGGGACCCGGAGGCGCGGGUCCUGCGGGAGGACGAGGCGGGGCUGCCCGGCCGCUGCGCCCCAGAGCCGCCGCCCCCUCAUCCCGGGACCGGCUUCCGUCUGGGGCGGGGGAAGAGGGCCUUUUGUCAUCCUGCCGCAAGUUAAAAGUGGACCGACGUCGAUCCCCACAUUCCCAUUACCGUUGCAACUCUCAAUCUCUAGGGGAACCCGCAGACCCAGCUGGGGGAGGGUGUUGGGGUUCUGUUCGUGACAUGGGGGGUCGUGACGUGGGAGGGAUGGCUUCGGUGAGCACUGAUUUUUGGUGCAGCGCAACUAGACAUUUUUUAAAUUGGAGGACUUUAGCACUGGAAGGCACUUUGUUGCUAUUUUUUUUUUUGGAAGGCACUUUAGAGAUAUUUAGUCCAACACCCACAUUUUACAGAUGA
rnacentral:lncRNA from 1 species